rnacentral:rRNA from 1 species
AUAUUGGUCAAUGGACGAGAGUCUGAACCAGCCAAGUAGCGUGAAGGAUGACUGCCCUAUGGGUUGUAAACUUCUUUUAUAUGGGAAUAAAACAGGGUAUGCAUACCCUCUUGUAUGUACCAUAUGAAUAAGGAUCGGCUAACUCCGUGCCAGCAGCCGCGGUAAUACGGAGGAUCCGAGCGUUAUCCGGAUUUAUUGGGUUUAAAGGGUGCGUAGGCGGUUACUUAAGUCAGCGGUCAAAUGGCGGGGCUCAACCCCGUCCAGCCGUUGAAACUGGGUAGCUUGAGUCGGCGAGAAGUACGCGGAAUGCGCGGCGUAGCGGUGAAAUGCAUAGAUAUCGCGCAGAACUCCGAUUGCGAAGGCAGCGUACCGGCGCCGCACUGACGCUGAGGCACGAAAGCGUGGGUAUCGAACAG